rnacentral:rRNA from 1 species
ACCUGCCAGACAGGGAAACUGCGUACGGCUCAUUACACCAGCUAUAAUUUACUUGACCUUGACUUCUUACUUGGAUAACUGUGGUAAUUCUAGAGCUAAUACGUGCACCAAAGCUCCAAUCUUCCCAGAGCGGAGCGCAUUUGUUCGCCACAAAACCAAGCGCCUUCGGGCGUCCAGUGUUGACUCAGAACAACUAAGCUGAUCGCACGGUCUUGCACCGGCGACGUGUCUUUCAAGUGUCUGCCUUAUCAACUUUCGAUGGUAGUGUACCUGACUACCAUGGUGAUGACGGGUAACGGAGGAUAAGGGUUCGACUCCGGAGAAGGGGCCUGGGAAAUGGCCACUACGUCUAAGGAUGGCGGCAGGCGCGCAAAUUACCCACUCUCAACAUGAGGAGGUAGUGACGAGAAAUAACGAGACCGAUCUCUUAUGAGGCCGGUCAUCGGAAUGGGUACAAUUUAAACCCUUUAACGAGUAUCUAUGAGAGGGCAAGUCUGGUGCCAGCAGCCGCGGUAAUUCCAGCUCUCAAAAUGCAUAGAAUUAUUGCUGCGGUUAAAAAGCUCGUAGUUGGAUCUGUGCUAGUCGACCGGUCCACCCACUGGGUGCGCACUGGUUCGGUUGGCUUUUCUGCCGGUCUCUCCCCGGCGUUGGCCUUCACUGGUCGGCGUCGGUGGGCUGGCGAGUUUACUUUGAACAGAUCAGAGUGCUUCAAACAGGCGUUUCGCUUGAAUGUUCGUGCAUGGAAUAAUAGAAGAGGACUUCGGUCCGAUUUUAUUGGUUUUGCUGACCGAGAUAAUGGUUAACAGAGACAAACGGGGCCAUUCGUAUUGCUACGUGAGAGGUGAAAUUCUUGGACCGUAGCAAGACGGACUACAGCGGAAGCAUUUGGCAAGAAUGUCUUCAUUAAUCAAGAACGAAAGUCAGAGGUUCGAAGGCGAUCAGAUACCGCCCUAGUUCUGACCGUAAA